rnacentral:rRNA from 18 species
UGUGAAGAAGGCCUUCGGGUUGUAAAGCACUUUUGUCCGGAAAGAAAACUUCGUCCCUAAUAUGGAUGGAGGAUGACGGUACCGGAAGAAUAAGCACCGGCUAACUACGUGCCAGCAGCCGCGGUAAUACGUAGGGUGCGAGCGUUAAUCGGAAUUACUGGGCGUAAAGCGUGCGCAGGCGGUCUGUUAAGACCGAUGUGAAAUCCCCGGGCUUAACCUGGGAACUGCAUUGGUGACUGGCAGGCUUUGAGUGUGGCAGAGGGAGGUAGAAUUCCACGUGUAGCAGUGAAAUGCGUAGAGAUGUGGAGGAAUACCGAUGGCGAAGGCAGCCUCCUGGGCCAACACUGACGCUCAUGCACGAAAGCGUGGGGAGCAAACAGGAUUAGAUACCCUGGUAGUCCACGCCCUAAACGAUGUCAACUAGUUGUUGGGGAUUCAUUUCCUUAGUAACGUAGCUAACGCGUGAAGUUGACCGCCUGGGGAGUACGGUCGCAAGAUUAAAACUCAAAGGAAUUGACGGGGACCCGCACAAGCGGUGGAUGAUGUGGAUUAAUUCGAUGCAACGCGAAAAACCUUACCUACCCUUGACAUGGUCGGAACCC